GCCCCGCCUGCGGCCGCCGCCCCCCCGAGCAGGUGCUGAACCCUCUGCUGCGAUUGGUGGAGAGCAGGUUCUCGCUCCUGCAGGAGUUCGUGCUCAGUGAUUGGAGCCGGCACGUGGGGCCUGUGCUGCAGGCCCUGAGCAAGUUCUGCCCCCACCUGCGGCACC